rnacentral:rRNA from 1 species
GACGGAAGGUGCAAGCGUUGCUCGGAAUCACUGGGCGUAAAGGGUGCGUAGGCGGCCCGCUAAGUCGAACGUGAAAUCCCCGGGCUCAACCCGGGAACUGCGUCCGAGACUGGAAGGCUCGAAUCCGGGAGAGGGAUGUGGAAUUCCAGGUGUAGCGGUGAAAUGCGUAGAUAUCUGGAGGAACAUCGGUGGCGAAGGCGGCAUCCUGGACCGGUAUUGACGCUGAGGCGCGAAAGCCAGGGGAGCAAACGGG